rnacentral:rRNA from 1 species
CCUACGGGGGGCUGCAGUGAGGAAUAUUGGUCAAUGGCCGGAAGGCUGAACCAGCCAUGCCGCGUGAAGGUCAGUGCCCUAUGGGCGUUACACUUCUUUUGUGCGGGAGCAAUAAUGGUCACGUGUGGCCAGACGAGAGUUCCGUACGAAUAAGCAUCGGCUAACUUCGUGCCAGCAGCCGCGAUAAUACGGGGGGUGCAAGCGUUUUCCGGAUUUAUUGGGUUUUAAGGGUGCGUAGGCUGGGAGGUAAGUCAGCGGUGAAAUGCCCACGCUCAAAGGGGUGAAGUGCCAUUGAUCCUGGCUUGCUGGAGUGCGGAUGCGGUAGGCGGAAUGUGUGGUGUAGCGGUGAAAUGCAUAGAUAUCACACAGAACACCGAUUGCGAAGGCAUCUCACGAAUCCGCGAUUGACGCUGAUGCACGAAAGCGUGGGUAUCAAACAGGAUUAGAUACCCUUGUAGUC